AUAUGCUAGAGAAAAGUUUAAUUAAAUGUAAAAUUUAGGGUCAAUGUGAAAAAUUAUAAAAGCAAAGAAAAGUGUAGGAAAAUUAUAAUAAUUAGAGAAAGUGUAGGUAACUAUAAACAUUAGAAAAUAACAUAACAUAUCUAAUGCAUCAAGCUUUGAAACAAUUUAGUAACUUUAGUUUCAACCUGAUCUACCCAAGUUACAAGUCAUUACCCUAAACAACUCUAUAUAGAAUCAAUAAAGUGAAAUAACCUUCCAUGGAUUUUCUUCAUUUUAGGUUGACUUUUCUUACCAAACUUCUGAAGCUUGGAGAGAACUGAAACAA
rnacentral:lncRNA from 1 species